GGGUUGUGAGGUUAAGCGACUAAGCGUACACGGUGGAUGCCCUGGCAGUCAGAGGCGAUGAAGGGCGUGCUAAUCUGCGAUAAGCGCCGGUAAGGUGAUAUGAACCGUUAUAACCGGCGAUACCCGAAUGGGGAAACCCAGUGUGAUUCGUCACACUAUCAUUAACUGAAUCCAUAGGUUAAUGAGGCGAACCGGGGGAACUGAAACAUCUAAGUACCCCGAGGAAAAGAAAUCAACCGAGAUUCCCCCAGUAGCGGCGAGCGAACGGGGAGGAGCCCAGAGCCUGAAUCAGCAUGUGUGUUAGUGGAAGCGUCUGGAAAGGCGCGCGAUACAGGGUGACAGCCCCGUACACAAAAGCGCAUGUGCUGUGAGCUCGAUGAGUAGGGCGGGACACGUGGUAUCCUGUCUGAAUAUGGGGGGACCAUCCUCCAAGGCUAAAUACUCCUGACUGACCGAUAGUGAACCAGUACCGUGAGGGAAAGGCGAAAAGAACCCCGGCGAGGGGAGUGAAAAAGAACCUGAAACCGUGUACGUACAAGCAGUGGGAGCACCCUUUGGGUGUGACUGCGUACCUUUUGUAUAAUGGGUCAGCGACUUAUAUUCUGUAGCAAGGUUAACCGAAUAGGGGAGCCGGAGGGAAACCGAGUCUUAACCGGGCGUUAAGUUGCAGGGUAUAGACCCGAAACCCGGUGAUCUAGCCAUGGGCAGGUUGAAGGUUGGGUAACACUAACUGGAGGACCGAACCGACUAAUGUUGAAAAAUUAGCGGAUGACCUGUGGCUGGGGGUGAAAGGCCAAUCAAACCGGGAGAUAGCUGGUUCUCCCCGAAAGCUAUUUAGGUAGCGCCUCGUGAAUUCAUCUCCGGGGGUAGAGCACUGUUUCGGCUAGGGGGCCAUCCCGGCUUACCAACCCGAUGCAAACUGCGAAUACCGGAGAAUGUUAUCACGGGAGACACACGGCGGGUGCUAACGUCCGUCGUGAAGAGGGAAACAACCCAGACCGCCAGCUAAGGUCCCAAAGUCAUGGUUAAGUGGGAAACGAUGUGGGAAGGCCCAGACAGCCAGGAUGUUGGCUUAGAAGCAGCCAUCAUUUAAAGAAAGCGUAAUAGCUCACUGGUCGAGUCGGCCUGCGCGGAAGAUGUAACGGGGCUAAACCAUGCACCGAAGCUGCGGCAGCGACACUGUG
rnacentral:rRNA from 1 species